CCGCCCGUCACACCACGGGAGUUGAUUGUACCUGAAGCCGGUGGGCUAACCUUCGGGAGGCAGCCGUCUAUGGUAUGAUCGGUAACUGGGGUGAAGUCGUAACAAGGUAGCCGUAGGGGAACCUGCGGCUGGAUCACCUCCUUU
rnacentral:rRNA from 1 species